UAUACAUAAUGCCACCAGACAGAAAAAGGAAGACAUUCAUAUUCACGGAUGUACAAGCUAACAUAUUGAUUACACAACAUGCACAUAAACAAAGAACUCUUAUUGCUGUCUAAGAAAAUAAACAACUGAUAAUUUCCAAGGGUAUAAAGCAUCAAAUAUUCCUAUACAACGCUACUACUAUACUGUAAUCUUGGGCAGACAGCAAUUUCCCUUCUAAAUUAAAUUUUUAAGAAAACAUACGAGGCACAAAAGUUACGCCUUUAACUAAUUCAUAACCCACACUUGCAAAAUUAGUUGGCAGUGUAGUGUCAUAUUCUAAAUAGCACAGAUAAUGUCCAAUACCGUUAGAAUUCAAGCUUUUUGCAUAAGCCCAAAUCAAUAAUCCUUGAUUUACUAGUUGGCUCUAAAGGAGCACCAGGGCAAGUUUCAGCAAUUACAUUUAGCCGAGAAGCUGAGGGAGGUGUCCUGCAAGCAUCACAAUCCCAUUCCAUAUUUGAUAGUUCAGCAAGAGCACUCUCUGUUUGCUUAGAAACAAUAGCCUCCAAGAGAUUUUCAUAUACUGAUUUGAACAUCUCCACAUCUAAAAUGGACUCCAUACCAUUACCAGGACUCGCAUGGUCCAAACCUUUGAGGGAAGAUUCAAAGUUAAGUCUUCGAGCAACACUGAUCCUUGCCUCAUCAAAGUAUUUCUUAGACUGGGAAGCCAAGACUUUGUCAUCAGGACUUGGAGCAAAUGGGUCAAAAACAACAUCCUUAGGUGUUUUGGGGCUGCUAGAAUUAUCAAUAUAGGGGAACUGGUCCUGAUUUCUAUUGGUUUUAGAAUCAAAGGUUAGCAAAGUCGGCAUUUUUGUCACCAUAGUGAGAGAAGAACUAGGCUCCAAGAGGAAAUCCCCAUUCUCUUUGUUUGCAUCAGGAGUGAUAGGCCCAAGAGAUAGCUCAAUUUUUGCCUUAUCAGCUUCUUCACUACAAGUUUCAUCCAAACUUUGCGUGGACUUUUGGGAU
rnacentral:misc_RNA from 1 species